AACGAACGCUGGCGGCAGGCCUAACACAUGCAAGUCGAGCGCGCCCUUCGGGGUGAGCGGCGGACGGGUGAGUAACGCGUGGGAACGUGCCCUUUUCUACGGAAUAGCCUCGGUAAACUGAGAGUAAUACCGUAUACGCCCUUUGGGGGAAAGAUUUAUCGGAAAAGGAUCGGCCCGCGUUGGAUUAGGUGGUUGGUGUGGUAAUGGCCUACCAAGCCGACGAUCCAUAGCUGGUUUGAGAGGAUGAUCAGCCACACUGGGACUGAGACACGGCCCAGACUCCUACGGGAGGCAGCAGUGGGGAACCUUAGACAAUGGGGGCAACCCUGAUCGAGCCAUGCCGCGUGAGUGAUGAAGGCCUUAGGGUUGUAAAGCUCUUUCAGCUGGGAAGAUAAUGACGGUACCAGCAGAAGAAGCCCCGGCUAACUCCGUG
rnacentral:rRNA from 1 species